rnacentral:rRNA from 1 species
CGCGGCCUAUCAGCUUGUUGGUGGGGUAACGGCCUACCAAGGCGUCGACGGGUAGCCGGCCUGAGAGGGCGACCGGCCACACUGGGACUGAGACACGGCCCAGACUCCUACGGGAGGCAGCAGUGGGGAAUCUUGCACAAUGGGCGAAAGCCUGAUGCAGCGACGCCGCGUGAGGGAUGACGGCCUUCGGGUUGUAAACCUCUUUCAGCUCCGACGAAGCGAAAGUGACGGUAGGAGCAGAAGAAGCACCGGCCAACUACGUGCCAGCAGCCGCGGUAAUACGUAGGGUGCAAGCGUUGUCCGGAAUUAUUGGGCGUAAAGAGCUCGUAGGCGGUCUGUCACGUCGGCUGUGAAAACCUGGGGCUCAACCCCGGGCCUGCAGCCGAUACGGGCAGACUAGAAUUCGGUAGGGGAGACUGGAAUUCCUGGUGUAGCGGUGGAAUGCGCAGAUAUCAGGAGGAACACCGGUGGCGAAGGCGGGUCUCUGGGCCGAUAUUGACGCUGAGGAGCGAAAGCGUGGGGAGCGAACAGGAUUAGAUACCCUGGUAGUCCACGCCGUAAACGGUGGGCGCUAGGUGUGGGCCUCAUUCCACGAGGUCUGUGCCGCAGCUAACGCAUUAAGCGCCCCGCCUGGGGAGUACG